GUGCGCUUCUCCCUGGGCCAGCUGCCUCAGGCUUUCUGCAUUUCCUCUCCCUGCUGUCCCUGUUCCUUGUUUGCUCUGGGAUUUGGAUGCAAGCGACAAGGGCUCAGCCCAUGACUGGGCAAAUAGAUGCACCAGUCUCCGGCGGGGUUCUGAGCAAAUGCGCCCGGUCAGGCCUGUCCCAGACUAAGGUAGUAGGGCUGGACUUCGCCCUAGUGAAUCAGCUCCGUGGAGGCUGGGCGGUUGCAACGGGCACCUGACGGGCUGGAGAUCUGAAGGCCAGGUAAGUCUUGGUAGAUGUGGCACCUGGACUUUGACAUUCCCCACGAGGAGAGAGACGCUCUUGGGCCUGGAGAAUGCUGGAGGAAGCGGCGCUGGAGGAAGGGGGGAAGCCACCCAGCAGAUAAAAGAUUUGAGGACUGAAGAGAAAAU